UAAGGAAUCUUCCACAAUGGACGAAAGUCUGAUGGAGCAACGCCGCGUGCAGGAAGACGGCUUUCGGGUUGUAAACUGCUUUUAUUUGGGAAGAUUAUGACGGUACCAAAUGAAUAAGGACCGGCUAACUACGUGCCAGCAGCCGCGGUAAUACGUAGGGUCCAAGCGUUAUCCGGAAUCACUGGGCGUAAAGCGUGCGUAGGCGGCGUUCUAAGUGAGAUGUGAAAUCUGGUGGCUCAACCAUCUAGACUGUGUCUCAUACUGGAAUGCUUGAGGAUGGCAGAGGCAAGUGGAAUUAGUAGUGUAGCAGUGAAAUGCGUAGAGAUUACUAGGAACACCAAUGGCGAAGGCAGCUUGCUGGGCCAUUUCUGACGCUGAGGUACGAAAGCGUGGGGAGCGAACAGG
rnacentral:rRNA from 1 species